GCACUGCUGAGGAGUCCCGUAAUAGGACAAAACGGCCGUCCAGUGC
rfam:Schistosoma rodhaini strain Burundi genome assembly, scaffold: SROB_scaffold0012028